rnacentral:rRNA from 1 species
GAUGAACGCUGGCGGCGUGCCUAAUACAUGCAAGUCGAGCGAACAGAUAAGGAGCUUGCUCCUUUGACGUUAGCGGCGGACGGGUGAGUAACACGUGGGUAACCUACCUAUAAGACUGGGAUAACUUCGGGAAACCGGAGCUAAUACCGGAUAAUAUUUCGAACCGCAUGGUUCGUUAGUGAAAGAUGGUUUUGCUAUCACUUAUAGAUGGACCCGCGCCGUAUUAGCUAGUUGGUAAGGUAACGGCUUACCAAGGCGACGAUACGUAGCCGACCUGAGAGGGUGAUCGGCCACACUGGAACUGAGACACGGUCCAGACUCCUACGGGAGGCAGCAGUAGGGAAUCUUCCGCAAUGGGCGAAAGCCUGACGGAGCAACGCCGCGUGAGUGAUGAAGGUCUUCGGAUCGUAAAACUCUGUUAUUAGGGAAGAACAUACGUGUAAGUAACUGUGCACGUCUUGACGGUACCUAAUCAGAAAGCCACGGCUAACUACGUG